UGUAUUGGAACAAUGAGAUUCCUCGACUUCCAGUGAGCGCGAAAGAGCAGGGAAGUCGGGGAGGCUCUUUGUCUCAAUACG